rnacentral:rRNA from 1 species
CACAGCCACGGGAAUACGUAGGGUGCAAGCGUUAAUCGGAAUUACUGGGCGUAAAGCGUGCGCAGGCGGUUAUAUAAGACAGAUGUGAAAUCCCCGGGCUCAACCUGGGAACUGCAUUUGUGACUGUAUAGCUAGAGUACGGCAGAGGGGGAUGGAAUUCCGCGUGUAGCAGUGAAAUGCGUAGAUAUGCGGAGGAACACCGAUGGCGAAGGCAAUCCCCUGGGCCUGUACUGACGCUCAUGCACGAAAGCGUGGGGAGCAAACAGGAUUAGAUACCCGUGUAGUCCCUGUCUCUUAUACA